UGGCGGGAACUCCAUCAUCGAAUAAAGGGAAAGGAAAUGGAGAGAGUGGAGAUAAGGUACUCCGUGCUAGGAAUGGAACUUCAUCAUCGAAGAAAGGGAAAGGAGAUCCAUUUCCAAAGCGAGGGAAGAUCAAAACCAUUAUAUUUAAUGAUUUCUUCGGAACGAACCCCAGAUCAGCAGAAUCUGAAGGAGGAGAUGGAGAGAGCGAAGAAAGCGGCUCUGGCAGUGCUUGAUCCACAUCUGUUCAUGGGCUAUCGAGCUAUGCGGAGGGGAAGAUCAGGUGGAGAGGAAGCAGAGGGACUUAUAUUCGAUCGCCUUCUAUUUCCAUAGAUAGAAUGAUGGGUUCGUGGGUUUAUCUUUUCUGUGGAAAUUUCAGAGGCUACUAUUGUUUUUUAUCUUCAGAUUCCAGGGAAUUAGUUGUAGUGUUGUAGUUUCGGGGAAUGAGUUGUAGUGUUGUAGUUUCAGGAAUUGAAUUGUUUUUUUUUUUUUUUUUCAUGCUACGAAGGGAUAUUUGAUGAUUUCAGUGGAUUUCUUCUGAUACUUGGAUUCCUGUCAGAUUGUAUGAAA